UACUUCUCAGGGUCACACCUGGAGAGUUUCCAGUACUCUACCAGUCUCGGCUGCAGGAGGCAGAGUCAAGCAAUGGCAUACCCAUUCCGUUCCUAGCUUGGCCAGUGGCUAGCGAGUGGAAGGCAACCUGCUACAAGU